rnacentral:rRNA from 1 species
UGGGGAAUUUUGGACAAUGGGCGAAAGCCUGAUCCAGCAAUGCCGCGUGUGUGAAGAAGGCCUUCGGGUUGUAAAGCACUUUUGUCCGGAAAGAAAUCCUUGGCUCUAAUACAGUCGGGGGAUGACGGUACCGGAAGAAUAAGCACCGGCUAACUACGUGCCAGCAGCCGCGGUAAUACGUAGGGUGCAAGCGUUAAUCGGAAUUACUGGGCGUAAAGCGUGCGCAGGCGGUUUGCUAAGACCGAUGUGAAAUCCCCGGGCUCAACCUGGGAACUGCAUUGGUGACUGGCAGGCUAGAGUAUGGCAGAGGGGGGUAGAAUUCCACGUGUAGCAGUGAAAUGCGUAGAGAUGUGGAGGAAUACCGAUGGCGAAGGCAGCCCCCUGGGCCAAUACUGAUGCUCAUGCACGAAAGCGUGGGGAGCAAACAGGAUUAGAUACCCUGGUAGUCCACGCCCUAAACGAUGUCAACUAGUUGUUGGGGAUUCAUUUCCUUAGUAACGUAGCUAACGCGUGAAGUUGACCGCCUGGGGAGUACGGUCGCAAGAUUAAAACUCAAAUGAAUUGAC